UUCUUAUUUUUGUUCCUGCACUUUUUUGAAGGAAGUAUUAUUAGUAAGUACCGCAGGUAAGGAUGAAGCAACGCGAAAUAUACUGAAGCGUAUGGCGGGCACGCGUACGACAGAUAGUCCUGUUAUGGUGCUAACAUUAACAAUGCAAUUUUUCGUUGCCGAUUGUUUGAUGUUUAGAAUGAAAAUAACGUUUUGAGAUUUUUUAUAUAUUUUUCAUCAUAUCUAUAUAAGUGAUCAAGAUUUUCUUCAUUUUGUAGUUUCAAUGUUCAAGUGAUCCUACAUGUUGAAGAAAUGUUUCUUUCAAACACGUUGAAAGAAUAUUUCUUUCAAUCAUAUUGAUAGAUGUUGGGAUAUAAUGCAUAUUAUUUAUGAUUUGUGUAUCACAUAUGUCUUUUCAACUUGAAAGAAAAAUAUAUGUCUUUCCACCUUAGAUUGUAUUUUAAAAGGACAUCCAGUGAAUACUAUUUUUAUAUGAUAGAGUGAUAAACGAAUUGUGAGUCUAUAUACUAUAAAAUUAUUUAAUAAAAUAUAUUAAAUUAAUAUUUAACAUUAAUUAUUAUAAUUAAUUUAUUCAAAUGAUAAUAUUGAGGUUAACCUUGAGUUUAAACAUCAUUUGAUAGUGUAUUGUAUUUUUCAAAAUUAAUUAUAAAAUUUAUAACCCAUCAAAAGAUAGUCAUAAGCCACUUAACAAAAUAUUAUUUCAAAAUUAAUAUUUGUAAUACCUUCAACUUUUAGAUAUUAAAAUUAUUAGAUAUAGUGCCAAUGGUUACUGAGUAUGAUAUAAUUGAUUACUUUAAGGAAUUUUUCAAAAAAUAAUGAAUUGUUUUUGUUUAAAAUAAAUGAUAUUCAUUCAUUAUCACAAUGUUAAUAUUCAUCAUUAUAAUUAAACAUUAUGUGGCAACUCCGCCAACAGAGUACUUUCUUCUUGGGGCAAAAAAAAAUGACUUUACCAAACCAAAAAAUGAAAGAAGAAAGAGCCCUAGCUCUCUAAUUUACUGUUACCAUUUCCAGUUGCAUCAACAACACCAUAAGCCAAAUACAACGAGAUAAGGACUUCACCAACAACACCAUAAGGAAAAUACAACGAGAAGCUUCCAUCUUCCUUCUAGGAACCAAGCAAGGUAUAAUCAAUUUUUUUCAAAUGAUGUUUUGCAAAAUAAUAAAAGGAUUUGAGUCUGUCAGAACACCGUGUGACCACCCCAGUUGGUAGGCACCAACUGAGAACGAUCAUCUACAGCUUGGAUGAUGACCACAACAUGCAGAUCAUCUGGGCCGUUAAUCACGCUCUGAUCACACGGUCAUGAUUCAUCCACCAGACUUAUGUUCCUGUCUCCUUAGAAAUCAAGGACACAGUAGUACGAGCCUAUAGAACAGAUCCUGUUCAAGUAAGGUCGUAUUCAUCAGCAGUUAGACUGAGAUAUAUAAAAGUUUAAGAUUUUCUGGGCUUCAACGAUGUGGGAGUAAUAUAAUAGUUUUUGCUGUAACUAGUUUUAUUUAUGUUAAAAAUGUCACAAGAGUGGUGCAUAAUGAUGAUUUGAUGUUUAUUGUAUAUUGUUUAUGUUUGUGUAAUUAUAUUGAAAUCUUGGAAUUUCAAUUUUAUUAUUCA
rnacentral:lncRNA from 1 species